rnacentral:misc_RNA from 1 species
AGGUGAACCUGCGGAAGGAUCAUUACAGUAGUCACCCAGGUUGCCGCAAGGCCUCCUGGGUAACCUACCACCCUUUGUUUAUUACACUUUGUUGCUUUGGCAAGCCUGCCCUCGGGCUGCUGGCUCCGGCCGGCGAGCGCUUGCCAGAGGACCUAAACUCUGUUUGUCUAUACUGUCUGAGUACUAUAUAAUAGUUAAAACUUUCAACAACGGAUCUCUUGGUUCUGG